rnacentral:lncRNA from 1 species
CAUCUUUGAGGCCAUGAAGUUGCUGGAUGGUUGCUCAUUGCUUGUGCUGCUUCAAUGCCAGGUCGCACUCAGCAAAGCCCAGGGACAAGAGAAGAGGAAGGACUCAAAGGAGCCAAGGCAGACAGUGAAAAAUCAGCAAGGGUAUUUCCAUGAGGCACACAGGGGACCUCAGCAUUUCACAGUGACAACAGGACUGAGGUGUGGACCUGCCUGUGCAAAUCUCCCCAGCCAGCAGCAGGUAAAUGUUCAGGGGCUGGAGCAGUCCCAGACCCAGCUAGAAGAAGGAAAU